UACGUAGGUGGCAAGCGUUGUCCGGAAUUAUUGGGCGUAAAGCGCGCGCAGGCGGCCCUUUAAGUCUGAUGUGAAAGCCCACGGCUCAACCGUGGAGGGUCAUUGGAAACUGGGGGACUUGAGUGCAGGAGAGAAGAGUGGAAUUCCACGUGUAGCGGUGAAAUGCGUAGAGAUGUGGAGGAACACCAGUGGCGAAGGCGACUCUUUGGUCUGUAACUGACGCUGAGGCGCGAAAGCGUGGGGAGCAAACAGG
rnacentral:rRNA from 1 species